rnacentral:lncRNA from 1 species
GUUUGGCUUGGCAAUGGAAUAAUGCAGUACAUUUUUCUUGCAAGUUGAAAUGAUAUGUACCUGGAACACAGGCACCACACUGUGCCCAACUCUUCACAACCCCAUGGAGUGCAGCAUACCAUCAUAGCAGUGAACGACUGCCAGCGGCCCUCCCUCUCAAUGUCCCUGUGCCCAUAUUUCAUCCAUAAAAAGAACAUGAAGGGAAGAGACACAAAAAGCAC